rnacentral:rRNA from 1 species
GGUUAAGCGACUAAGCGUACACGGUGGAUGCCCUGGCAGUCAGAGGCGAUGAAGGGCGUGCUAAUCUGCGAUAAGCGCCGGUAAGGUGAUAUGAACCGUUAUAACCGGCGAUACCCGAAUGGGGAAACCCAGUGUGAUUCGUCACACUAUCAUUAACUGAAUCCAUAGGUUAAUGAGGCGAACCGGGGGAACUGAAACAUCUAAGUACCCCGAGGAAAAGAAAUCAACCGAGAUUCCCCCAGUAGCGGCGAGCGAACGGGGAGGAGCCCAGAGCCUGAAUCAGCAUGUGUGUUAGUGGAAGCGUCUGGAAAGGCGCGCGAUACAGGGUGACAGCCCCGUACACAAAAGCGCAUGUGCUGUGAGCUCGAUGAGUAGGGCGGGACACGUGGUAUCCUGUCUGAAUAUGGGGGGACCAUCCUCCAAGGCUAAAUACUCCUGACUGACCGAUAGUGAACCAGUACCGUGAGGGAAAGGCGAAAAGAACCCCGGCGAGGGGAGUGAAAAAGAACCUGAAACCGUGUACGUACAAGCAGUGGGAGCACAGGUUUACCUGUGUGACUGCGUACCUUUUGUAUAAUGGGUCAGCGACUUAUAUUCUGUAGCAAGGUUAACCGUAUAGGGGAGCCGGAGGGAAACCGAGUCUUAAUUGGGCGUUAAGUUGCAGGGUAUAGACCCGAAACCCGGUGAUCUAGCCAUGGGCAGGUUGAAGGUUGGGUAACACUAACUGGAGGACCGAACCGACUAAUGUUGAAAAAUUAGCGGAUGACCUGUGGCUGGGGGUGAAAGGCCAAUCAAACCGGGAGAUAGCUGGUUCUCCCCGAAAGCUAUUUAGGUAGCGCCUCGUGAAUUCAUCUCCGGGGGUAGAGCACUGUUUCGGCUAGGGGGCCAUCCCGGCUUACCAACCCGAUGCAAACUGCGAAUACCGGAGAAUGUUAUCACGGGAGACACACGGCGGGUGCUAACGUCCGUCGUGAAGAGGGAAACAACCCAGACCGCCAGCUAAGGUCCCAAAGUCAUGGUUAAGUGGGAAACGAUGUGGGAAGGCCCAGACAGCCAGGAUGUUGGCUUAGAAGCAGCCAUCAUUUAAAGAAAGCGUAAUAGCUCACUGGUCGAGUCGGCCUGCGCGGAAGAUGUAACGGGGCUAAACCAUGCACCGAAGCUGCGGCAGCGAACGUAUCACCCAAGACAACUUUACGGAGUUGACGAUUGACGGAGCGAAGCGACGUCAAAGCGUUCAUUAAAGUCGAGUUGGCUUAGGGAUACGUUCGUUGGGUAGGGGAGCGUUCUGUAAGCCUGUGAAGGUGUGUCGUGAGGCAUGCUGGAGGUAUCAGAAGUGCGAAUGCUGACAUAAGUAACGAUAAAGCGGGUGAAAAGCCCGCUCGCCGGAAGACCAAGGGUUCCUGUCCAACGUUAAUCGGGGCAGGGUGAGUCGACCCCUAAGGCGAGGCCGAAAGGCGUAGUCGAUGGGAAACGGGUUAAUAUUCCCGUACUUGGUGUUACUGCGAAGGGGGGACGGAGAAGGCUAUGUUGGCCGGGCGACGGUUGUCCCGGUUUAAGCGUGUAGGUGUGUGUUCCAGGUAAAUCCGGUUCACUUUAACACUGAGGCGUGACGACGAGGCACUACGGUGCUGAAGCAACAAAUGCCCUGCUUCCAGGAAAAGCCUCUAAGCAUCAGGUAACACGAAAUCGUACCCCAAACCGACACAGGUGGUCAGGUAGAGAAUACCAAGGCGCUUGAGAGAACUCGGGUGAAGGAACUAGGCAAAAUGGUGCCGUAACUUCGGGAGAAGGCACGCUGACACGUAGGUGAAGUGAUUUACUCAUGGAGCUGAAGUCAGUCGAAGAUACCAGCUGGCUGCAACUGUUUAUUAAAAACACAGCACUGUGCAAACACGAAAGUGGACGUAUACGGUGUGACGCCUGCCCGGUGCCGGAAGGUUAAUUGAUGGGGUCAGCGCAAGCGAAGCUCCUGAUCGAAGCCCCGGUAAACGGCGGCCGUAACUAUAACGGUCCUAAGGUAGCGAAAUUCCUUGUCGGGUAAGUUCCGACCUGCACGAAUGGCGUAAUGAUGGCCAGGCUGUCUCCACCCGAGACUCAGUGAAAUUGAACUCGCUGUGAAGAUGCAGUGUACCCGCGGCAAGACGGAAAGACCCCGUGAACCUUUACUAUAGCUUGACACUGAACAUUGAGCCUUGAUGUGUAGGAUAGGUGGGAGGCUUUGAAGUGUGGACGCCAGUCUGCAUGGAGCCGACCUUGAAAUACCACCCUUUAAUGUUUGAUGUUCUAACGUGGACCCGUAAUCCGGGUUGCGGACAGUGUCUGGUGGGUAGUUUGACUGGGGCGGUCUCCUCCUAAAGAGUAACGGAGGAGCACGAAGGUUGGCUAAUCCUGGUCGGACAUCAGGAGGUUAGUGCAAUGGCAUAAGCCAGCUUGACUGCGAGCGUGACGGCGCGAGCAGGUGCGAAAGCAGGUCAUAGUGAUCCGGUGGUUCUGAAUGGAAGGGCCAUCGCUCAACGGAUAAAAGGUACUCCGGGGAUAACAGGCUGAUACCGCCCAAGAGUUCAUAUCGACGGCGGUGUUUGGCACCUCGAUGUCGGCUCAUCACAUCCUGGGGCUGAAGUAGGUCCCAAGGGUAUGGCUGUUCGCCAUUUAAAGUGGUACGCGAGCUGGGUUUAGAACGUCGUGAGACAGUUCGGUCCCUAUCUGCCGUGGGCGCUGGAGAACUGAGGGGGGCUGCUCCUAGUACGAGAGGACCGGAGUGGACGCAUCACUGGUGUUCGGGUUGUCAUGCCAAUGGCACUGCCCGGUAGCUAAAUGCGGAAGAGAUAAGUGCUGAAAGCAUCUAAGCACGAAACUUGCCCCGAGAUGAGUUCUCCCUGAGACUUUAGGUCUCCUGAAGGAACGUUGAAGACGACGACGUUGAUAGGCCGGGUGUGUAAGCGCAGCGAUGCGUUGAGCUAACCGGUACUAAUGAACCGUGAGGCUUAACCUU